rnacentral:rRNA from 1 species
GGUUAAGCGACUAAGCGUACACGGUGGAUGCCCUGGCAGUCAGAGGCGAUGAAGGACGUGCUAAUCUGCGAUAAGCGUCGGUAAGGUGAUAUGAACCGUUAUAACCGGCGAUUUCCGAAUGGGGAAACCCAGUGUGUUUCGACACACUAUCAUUAACUGAAUCCAUAGGUUAAUGAGGCGAACCGGGGGAACUGAAACAUCUAAGUACCCCGAGGAAAAGAAAUCAACCGAGAUUCCCCCAGUAGCGGCGAGCGAACGGGGAGGAGCCCAGAGUCUGAAUCAGUGUGUGUGUUAGUGGAAGCGUCUGGAAAGGCGCGCGAUACAGGGUGACAGCCCCGUACACAAAAAUGCACAUAUUGUGAGCUCGAUGAGUAGGGCGGGACACGUGGUAUCCUGUCUGAAUAUGGGGGGACCAUCCUCCAAGGCUAAAUACUCCUGACUGACCGAUAGUGAACCAGUACCGUGAGGGAAAGGCGAAAAGAACCCCGGCGAGGGGAGUGAAAAAGAACCUGAAACCGUGUACGUACAAGCAGUGGGAGCACGCUUAGGCGUGUGACUGCGUACCUUUUGUAUAAUGGGUCAGCGACUUAUAUUCUGUAGCAAGGUUAACCGAAUAGGGGAGCCGAAGGGAAACCGAGUCUUAACUGGGCGUUAAGUUGCAGGGUAUAGACCCGAAACCCGGUGAUCUAGCCAUGGGCAGGUUGAAGGUUGGGUAACACUAACUGGAGGACCGAACCGACUAAUGUUGAAAAAUUAGCGGAUGACUUGUGGCUGGGGGUGAAAGGCCAAUCAAACCGGGAGAUAGCUGGUUCUCCCCGAAAGCUAUUUAGGUAGCGCCUCGUGAAUUCAUCUCCGGGGGUAGAGCACUGUUUCGGCAAGGGGGUCAUCCCGACUUACCAACCCGAUGCAAACUGCGAAUACCGGAGAAUGUUAUCACGGGAGACACACGGCGGGUGCUAACGUCCGUCGUGAAGAGGGAAACAACCCAGACCGCCAGCUAAGGUCCCAAAGUCAUGGUUAAGUGGGAAACGAUGUGGGAAGGCCCAGACAGCCAGGAUGUUGGCUUAGAAGCAGCCAUCAUUUAAAGAAAGCGUAAUAGCUCACUGGUCGAGUCGGCCUGCGCGGAAGAUGUAACGGGGCUAAACCAUGCACCGAAGCUGCGGCAGCGACGCUUAUGCGUUGUUGGGUAGGGGAGCGUUCUGUAAGCCUGUGAAGGUGUGCUGUGAGGCAUGCUGGAGGUAUCAGAAGUGCGAAUGCUGACAUAAGUAACGAUAAAGCGGGUGAAAAGCCCGCUCGCCGGAAGACCAAGGGUUCCUGUCCAACGUUAAUCGGGGCAGGGUGAGUCGACCCCUAAGGCGAGGCCGAAAGGCGUAGUCGAUGGGAAACAGGUUAAUAUUCCUGUACUUGGUGUUACUGCGAAGGGGGGACGGAGAAGGCUAUGUUGGCCGGGCGACGGUUGUCCCGGUUUAAGCGUGUAGGCUGGUUUUCCAGGCAAAUCCGGAAAAUCAAGGCUGAGGCGUGAUGACGAGGCACUACGGUGCUGAAGCAACAAAUGCCCUGCUUCCAGGAAAAGCCUCUAAGCAUCAGGUAACAUCAAAUCGUACCCCAAACCGACACAGGUGGUCAGGUAGAGAAUACCAAGGCGCUUGAGAGAACUCGGGUGAAGGAACUAGGCAAAAUGGUGCCGUAACUUCGGGAGAAGGCACGCUGAUAUGUAGGUGAAGUCCCUUGCGGAUGGAGCUGAAAUCAGUCGAAGAUACCAGCUGGCUGCAACUGUUUAUUAAAAACACAGCACUGUGCAAACACGAAAGUGGACGUAUACGGUGUGACGCCUGCCCGGUGCCGGAAGGUUAAUUGAUGGGGUCAGCGCAAGCGAAGCUCUUGAUCGAAGCCCCGGUAAACGGCGGCCGUAACUAUAACGGUCCUAAGGUAGCGAAAUUCCUUGUCGGGUAAGUUCCGACCUGCACGAAUGGCGUAAUGAUGGCCAGGCUGUCUCCACCCGAGACUCAGUGAAAUUGAACUCGCUGUGAAGAUGCAGUGUACCCGCGGCAAGACGGAAAGACCCCGUGAACCUUUACUAUAGCUUGACACUGAACAUUGAGCCUUGAUGUGUAGGAUAGGUGGGAGGCUUUGAAGUGUGGACGCCAGUCUGCAUGGAGCCGACCUUGAAAUACCACCCUUUAAUGUUUGAUGUUCUAACGUUGACCCGUGAUCCGGGUUGCGGACAGUGUCUGGUGGGUAGUUUGACUGGGGCGGUCUCCUCCUAAAGAGUAACGGAGGAGCACGAAGGUUGGCUAAUCCUGGUCGGACAUCAGGAGGUUAGUGCAAUGGCAUAAGCCAGCUUGACUGCGAGCGUGACGGCGCGAGCAGGUGCGAAAGCAGGUCAUAGUGAUCCGGUGGUUCUGAAUGGAAGGGCCAUCGCUCAACGGAUAAAAGGUACUCCGGGGAUAACAGGCUGAUACCGCCCAAGAGUUCAUAUCGACGGCGGUGUUUGGCACCUCGAUGUCGGCUCAUCACAUCCUGGGGCUGAAGUAGGUCCCAAGGGUAUGGCUGUUCGCCAUUUAAAGUGGUACGCGAGCUGGGUUUAGAACGUCGUGAGACAGUUCGGUCCCUAUCUGCCGUGGGCGCUGGAGAACUGAGGGGGGCUGCUCCUAGUACGAGAGGACCGGAGUGGACGCAUCACUGGUGUUCGGGUUGUCAUGCCAAUGGCACUGCCCGGUAGCUAAAUGCGGAAGAGAUAAGUGCUGAAAGCAUCUAAGCACGAAACUUGCCCCGAGAUGAGUUCUCCCUGACCCUUUAAGGGUCCUGAAGGAACGUUGAAGACGACGACGUUGAUAGGCCGGGUGUGUAAGCGCAGCGAUGCGUUGAGCUAACCGGUACUAAUGAACCGUGAGGCUUAACCUU